UGGGCCUGUCUCCUCUCUGGCAAGCUGUUUAUAAGCAGAAUGUAAUGUGGGCACCAGUAUUUAUUUCUGAACAAUGUGUGAAAAGAGAACAGCAGAAUGUAAAGUUCAAGAGUAGAUGUGCACGUGGAGUUUAUAUUCUCCGACUUCAAGCAGAAAGAGAGCCUGUGUCUCUGAGCCCAAAAGAAAAAGAGUAAAGCGCUUCUAGUGUAUUUUUUAGAGGGUGAUGAGGCUCCACGGGGACUGUGACUUCUGCCCUCUUCUCUCGCUCUCGCUCGGGGGGAAGCUGGCGGCCCUGUGCAGAGGCCCAUGGGGCAAGGAGUCCACCAGGGCACCAGCCAAGACCAGAGGCCUGCAAUAACCACGUGAGUGAGCUUGGGGCCACACCCUCCUCUCGUGGAGCCUGCGGUGAUCACAGUCUGUCACCUUGAUUGAGAGCCUGGGAGCCAGAAGAACCAGCUAAGCCACUCCCGGAUUCCUGACCCAUCGGAACUGUGAGGCAAUAAAUCUGUGUUGGGUUAGGCUGCCAGACUUGAGGACCUGUGUGCCACAGGUGUAGAGGAGCCGAUAUACCCAAACCCUCUUGACAAUGUCUGAGCGCAUUGUUCCCAAAGUCAGAGCACAUGGGUUUAAAUCUUGACUCUGCCGAUAGUGAGCUGUGCAAACUUAAGCACAUUAUUUAA